CAAGCUAUUCAAAUUAGUACCAGGUUUACUGGCAAGUUCUACUACUGUAAAUGCAGCUGACACUAGAAAAAGUCCUUUUGCUAAAAAGUUUUUACAAGUCCUAUGAGAAAAAGGAUUCCACAUCUAGGACUUUUGCUGGGGAAAAUAAACAAUCAAACCUCCUAACCAAAAACUACAGAAAGCCCAUAACUGUUCAUAUCCCUCCCACUCAUUGGGGAGCUGUAAUAGUCAAGACAUAACAUGCAUCAGGGUAAAGAAUACAUAUAUAGUACACAACUGCAGCUAACAUACCUAAUUUUGUAACUAGUGCCCCAAAUCCUGCAAGUACUCAUGCACACCUUUAGCUUUAAGCAUGUGAGUUUAAUUCCAUUAAAGUCAUAAGAAAGGUGUAAAUUGUUAUUAGUGUGGCUACUUGUUCACAGAGUCCAGCACAUGUGUAAGCAUUUGCUUCCUUCUGCACCUGCGAAUACCAAGCAGAGCGAAAAACACCAUGGUCUAGGCUUAACCAGGGAACAAACUAUAUCAAAACUGUUAAGUGAAUUUACAAAGUCCAGUCACAGUAAAAGGUUGGUUGAUAUGGUUGUGUAACAGGAGUUGGAGAAAAUAUCUGCAUAUGUUUCAUAGCAUCAUAGUUUAUUUUAAAAAAAAAAGCUUUCCAAGGGGGAAAACCAGUGGAGUUGCAUACUCCUCAGAGAGCUUCCUCCUGGAUUCCACACUUGCUUCCCUUUCUCUCUUAAUAGAUCACAGUUAGUUUUAGUGAAGAGGUUUUGUCCUGGAACAAGGAUCUUAUUAGGGAGAAUUAUUCUGAGUUGUGAUGAGGAUGAAGAUCUGAAUCAGAUACAGUUUCACAAAGGCUGUCUUCUUUAUAGUAUAACUAAGUCUUCCAUCCAUCUCUGAUCGGAAAUGACUGACCUGCACACCCUAACCGUUCACAACAAUUAAGACAUAAACCUGCUGCAGGAAAACAGUGCAUAUCCAUGUGGCAUCCAAGCAAUGAUCAACCAGAUUUUUCCUUCAACGAGCCUUAGAGUUAUGUGACCGUUGUAAUCCCAUGUUCCUCUAAACAUCGACUGACAUAGCCCAGUUUGGCAGUCUAAUGGGAAUUUUGCCUCAAUAGGGACUGAAGAAAUAGGCAUAAAAGGUUCCAGUCCCUCAGUAAGCAAGAGUCAAAGCUUGUGAAACCAGGGGUGUAAGCCAUGCAGGAAAUUAUGAGGUAAUAGGUAUAGCUGAGAUGUAAGAUAUGCCUGUAGUGGGGCUCAGAACAGAAGUAAUGAGCGUGAUUGGAGUAAGCUGGGAUAAGGGAACAUGUGGACUGGCCUGCAGGAAAAGGUGAAAGGAGAUGCAUUAGCCAAACAACAGGAGGCAUGUUAAGUGAGACAAUAUAUGCGAGCAAGAACAUAAAGUGAGGACUAAGCUGUCCCAGGCUGGUGAAACUGAGCAAGGGAUCAGAGCACAUGCUGAUCUGGGCAGAAAUUCAGAGCUCCCACACGUUCCCCCACACAAGACAUGCCGGGUGGUAGGAGAAUGUUCAACCCUUCAAAGAGAAAUCGAGCAACGUGGAGGCAUGAGCAGCCUCAGACACCUGUGGAUUUGCAAACCCACUGAGAUGCUAGCUGGAGUGGGAAAAGCAGAAUCUGAGGCCCGUCUCGGUACGCACUGACCUACCUGUUCUCAUCGGGGCAGAUCCAGAACAGUCAUUAGCUAGCACUGUAGCUGGAUGGCUGAAGGUAAAAACAUAACUCUCUCUGUCCCACUCCCACACAUCCAGAGGACUGUUUGUGCUUACUCCUAUUUAGUACCUGAUAGGGUCAUAAAUGCUCAGAGCUGCCUGCUGUGUCAGAUCCCCAGAGACCACACUACCCACGCAACUCACUCCAUGGCUGCACUGCAAAUUGAGGAAGCGGUGAGGAAAAGUGUUGUGGGCAAAAUUCUCAGUGGACAAAACCUGGCAUAGUGCAGAUGAAUUACGUGAAAUCAUGCCAAUUUAUAUUGGCUCAGGAUCUGGCCCCGUAUCAAGACAACUCCUGAAGGCUAGCAACCAGAAAUGCGCUGAAGCCUAGUAGUAGGGUACAUCCUAACUUAAAGCAAAGCAGGCAUUUUAAGUGUGAAAGCAGAAGGUAAAUGCAUAUGUAGGGUAAAUGCUCAUUCAGGGAAGAACUUGUUAACGCAUGCAGGGGAUCAGGUAGUGAGCUGUCGUGCCAAGGGUUCACUACUGGGGAAUCUCCUCUGUGAGCCACUAGUUGCUUGACACACGAAUACCACCACCACACCAUUGGAUUCAGGAAUUGACUUUCACACUCUUGCAUCCUGUUAUUUAAUCUGGGCUGAAUGGCCUCCAGAGAACUCGCUUCCACAUCCACCUUAGGAAUGUGACAAGCUCUACUUUACAGCCAAGGGAUCCCACACACUCAUUUCCUGAAUUGAACUGAAUGCUGGGUUUUGGUUUAUUUUUAACAGGAGGAAUCAAAACUUGUAUUUUUGUACUAAGCUGCUGUAAUAAAUGGAGUUUACAGGCCA